ensembl:lncRNA
GUUAGGAUCUGCUGCUAACUGACGAAGGGCAGCAGCAAUUUUUACGCUUUUUCCUGGCAUUGGCACCUCUAGCUCCCAGGGGCUCAGUAAACGUUUGCUGAUUGACUUGUUGAUUGAGUCAUCCCUUUGUAUUGAAGGACAGCACCGGAGGGACGGGGCCGUGGACCUCCCAUCCCAUCCGGUCUCAUCCCAGAGUCUCGCCUAGACUUGAAGAAGGACACAGUGAGAGGCACGGACCCCCAAGAAGCAAGUCCAUCAUCCUUUCUGAUCCAAGAUGAAGGAUACAGCUGCCUUCUUUACUGAAGCCUUUCUGUGGGGAUGCUGGCUUAGGAGGACCCUGGCGGUUGAGGACUGGUGAGAGCCCUGGAUGUUCAAAGCGCCGCGGGACAGUCCUAGGACCAAGGUCGAGACAGAGCGACGGGGCUCUCGGCGCAGCGAGCCCUCAGGCGUCUGCUGCAAUGGACUCGAGUCUGGCCUGGGGCCCUGCCAGACCCACGGCAGAUGUCAGGAGCUGCUCUCUGGGCUGGGAGCUGGCCCCCAGGAGAAGGGCUGACACGGGAGAGUUAGUGGGAUUAUUCAGAUGACGGGGCUCCCGGGGAAGGAAGGAGGAAAGGAAGGAGCGUGAGGCCGGGAUGAGGUGGGGAG